UACGGGGGGAGCAAGCGUUGUUCGGAUUUACUGGGCGUAAAGGGCGCGUAGGCGGCCACCGCAAGUCGACUGUGAAAUCUCCGGGCUUAGCCCGGAAAGGUCAGCCGAUACUGCGGGGCUAGAGUGCAGAAGGGGCAACUGGAAUUCUCGGUGUAGCGGUGAAAUGCGUAGAUAUCGAGAGGAACACCUGCGGCGAAGGCGGGUUGCUGGGCUGACACUGACGCCGAGGCGCGAAAGCCAGGGGAGCGAACGGG
rnacentral:rRNA from 1 species